CCAAAAUAGGUCCUAAUAAAUUAUUUUACUCGGACAUAUGUCGAACAGCACCAGGAAGGGAACUGGAGAGCGAGGUGAUCAAUGCCUACAUGAAGCUUUUGGAGAAAAAACUUAAUACAUCCUCUGCUGAGAAAGUCAUGUGUAUUGACUCUUUUGCCAUGACUGAUGUGUGGCAUAAGAAAUUUCCACGCUUCAAGUGGGAUCCCACAGACUUCAAAACUUUAUACGGCAUUGUUAAUGACAACCAUCACUGGUUUGCUGUUAUUAUAUAUCCAAAACAGAGAAAAUCUCUUCUUCUGGACUCGCUUGGGGAAGGUAGUCAGAAGUUGAGGAAAUGCCAAGAUAUAUCAAGAGCUUUUAUGAGGAAUCAGGGAAUGAAUGUGUCAAGAUGGGAAUGCACCACACUUCCACAUCCCCUGCAACCUGACUCAAAUUCCUGUGGAGUGUUUGCCAUAAAGUUUGUUGAAAAAG